rnacentral:rRNA from 1 species
UACGUAGGGUGCGAGCGUUAAUCGGAAUUACUGGGCGUAAAGCGUGCGCAGGCGGUUUUGUAAGCCGGAUGUGAAAUCCCCGGGCUUAACCUGGGAACUGCAUUUGUGACUGCACGGCUAGAGUGUGUCAGAGGGGGGUAGAAUUCCACGUGUAGCAGUGAAAUGCGUAGAUAUGUGGAGGAACACCAGUGGCGAAGGCGAUCUUCUGGACGGAUACUGACGCUGAGGCGCGAAAGCUAGGGGAGCAAACGGG